CCUACGGGAGGCAGCAGUGGGGAAUAUUGGACAAUGGGCGAAAGCCUGAUCCAGCAAUGCCGCGUGAGUGAUGAAGGCCUUCGGGUCGUAAAGCUCUUUUACCAGGGAUGAUAAUGACAGUACCUGGAGAAUAAGCUCCGGCUAACUCCGUGCCAGCAGCCGCGGUAAUACGGAGGGAGCUAGCGUUGUUCGGAAUUACUGGGCGUAAAGAGUACGUAGGCGGUUAUUCAAGUCAGAGGUGAAAGCCCGGGGCUCAACCCCGGAACUGCCUUUGAAACUAGAUAACUAGAGUCUUGGAGAGGUUAGUGGAAUUCCGAGUGUAGAGGUGAAAUUCGUAGAUAUUCGGAAGAACACCAGUGGCGAAGGCGACUAACUGGACAAGUACUGACGCUGAGGUACGAAAGCGUGGGGAGCAAACAGGAUUAGAUACCCUGGUAGUCCACGCCGUAAACGAUGAUAACUAGUUGUUCGGUCACUUGGUGACUGAGUGACGCAGCUAACGCAUUAAGUUAUCCGCCUGGGGAGUACGGUCGCAAGAUUAAAACUCAAAUNAUAGAGCGNGAGACNGCGAGCGACGACGAGGAGAG
rnacentral:rRNA from 1 species